rnacentral:miRNA from 1 species
CAAAAGACAAUCACAGGGGCAG